CCAUACCAGUUGGGGAAGCAGCGGAGCCCUGUACCUGAAAUCCGCUACAGCAGGGAUGGAUUCCUCUUUUGAGGGCUGACCGUUUGCGGUCUGAGUCACGUCGCUCGUGUUGAGAGAUGGGUCUUGCGCAAUCGGCGGCUGUGAACCAUGUCAGGUGGGGAACCAAGCAGCAUUAAGCAGUUGAGCCGGUGUGCCGCGAGGAAGCCUGUCUUGAGCGAGAGAUGUGUGCCUCGCGCAGGCGUGACGUUCGAGAAAGAGGUGUAUGG
rnacentral:SRP_RNA from 1 species